rnacentral:rRNA from 1 species
GACAGAGGUGCCGAGCGUUAGGCGGAAUCACUGGGCUUAAAGCGUGUGUAGGCGGAUCGUUAAGUACCUUGUGAAAUCCCACGGCUCAACCGUGGAACUGCUGGGUAUACUGGCGGUCUUGAGCCACCUAGGGGCGAGCGGAACAAGCGGUGGAGCGGUGAAAUGCGUAGAUAUCGCUUGGAACGCCAACGGUGAAAACAGCUCGCUGGGGGUGUGCUGACGCUGGAGGCACGAAAGCCAGGGGAGCGAACGGG